CCUACGGGUGGCAGCAGUGAGGAAUAUUGGUCAAUGGGCUUACGCCUGAACCAGCCAAGUCGCGUGAGGGAAGACUGCCCUAUGGGUUGUAAACCUCUUUUGUCAGGGAGCAACGCCGGCUACGUGUAGCCGUACUGAGAGUACCUGAAGAAAAAGCAUCGGCUAACUCCGUGCCAGCAUCCGCGGUAAUACGGAGGAUGAGAGCGUUAUCCGGAUUUAUUGGUUUUAAAGGGUGCGUAGGCGGAAUGCCAAGUCAGCGGUAAAAUCGCGGGGCUCAACCCCGCUCCGCCGUUGAAACUGGCGUGCGUGAGUGGGCGAGAGGUAUGCGGAAUGAGUGGUGUAGCGGUGAAAUGCGUAGAUAUCGCGAAGAACACCGAUUGCGAAGGCAGCAUACCGGCGCCCAACUGACGCUGAAGCACGAAAGCGUGGGUAGCGAACAGGAUUAGAUACCCCGGUAGUC
rnacentral:rRNA from 1 species